rnacentral:sRNA from 1 species
GUGAUGCUAGACGUGGCGAUUUCGAUAGACGUCCUGGCCCGCCGGUUCCUUCUAUGAGAGCUGCAAUUCUUGGAGGAAGUGAUCCGUAUCACGGAUUUCAGCCGGUGGUGGACACCUAUAAUGGACCCGUAGUGGAUAAUUCGAGAAGACGUGGUUUCGAUAAGGGGCCGUUUGGAGAGGAUUUGACGACGAUGGGAAGAAAUGAAGGGAGACAGCCGUUGCUCAGACAUGUAAGGAGCGCGAUUUUGAGUCGAAAAGUUCAAAAAAUCCAACUUAAAAACUCAAUUUUCGCUGAAAUUCCCUCCAAAACUCCCCGACCAAUCAGCGAUUCGCUCCGCCCAUCUUUGAACCAAUCAGAUGGAGUGGGCGGAGUUCGAAGUCGGGGAAUCCUCAUUUUGAGAAUUGACUUCAAAACGAGAAUUCCCCGACCAAUCAACGACUUCGAACUCCGCCCACUCAAUCUGAUUGGUUGAAGGAUGGGCGGAGCGAAUCGCUGAUUGGUUGCGAUGUGGUUUUUCUGGUUUUUAGACUUUUUUUUCGGAUUUUGAUGAAAAUUCACGAAUUAAAUAGUUUCAGCCGAGACUAGACUUUGAGCACAUUGGCGGAGAAAUGGAAAUCGCGAGAAGUCGGUCUGCAUCUCCAGAAAUUCAAGUUAUCAGUG